ensembl:lncRNA
GUCAAGUGCGCUGAGAAGGGGUACCCAUCUCGCUGGAUUUGAGUUGGAGGCUGGCUCACCAACCUAGCUGGCCCGCCUCAGGUCUCAGUUUCCCCAUUCGGCCAGGGCACUGAGAGGACUGUUAGAAAUUAAGGGUCUGUCUGUCUUGGCCCGCCCCGGGGGUGUGGCUGGGAAUGGUCACGUGAAGGGGCGCCGCGCCCGGGGUCUCCCGCCCACUUGGAGGCGUCUGGAACCGGAGCCUGGAGCCAGCCAGGGCUGUGAGGGCUUUCAGAGACGCGCCACCACGCCGGGGCUGCUGAGGUUACGCUCGCCGGGGCCCGAGGGCACCUGCUCGCGGUUCCGCCGGCUCCCUGAUAACUGUGCGGGAGGCUGGACCCGCAGCGGCGACAGCGACGACAGCAGCAGCGAGGACUGGAGCGCAGGCAGCAGCAGCAGCCACACCAGCCGUGACACCAUGGAUCUGUCUUUUAUGGCCGCGCAGCUGCCCAUGAUGGGAGGAGCAUUCAUGGACUCACCCAAUGAGGACUUCAGUACCGAGUACUCCCUGUUUAACUCCCCUGCCAAUGUCCACUCGACCUCCAAUGGCCACGGCCAGCUCGAGGAGUCUCCUCGCUCCUCCAACGAUGCUGUUCUGCUGUGGAUUGCCAUCAUAGCCACGGUGGGGAACAUCGUGGUAGUAGGGGUGGUGUAUGCCUUCACCUUCUGAGGCCCAGGGAUGCUGAGGCUCUGGGGAAGCCCCUCCCACUCUGACUCCAGCUUUCUCCCAGUCACUGGAGAUACCUAUGUUCUCAGAUGGUCCCUGGAGGGGCAGGCACCAUGCACCUGUAAUUUCCUCCAGGCAGCUCCGGUUUAGAGCAUCUCCUUGUUGUGGCUGAUCUAAUUCAGAGCACCUUGAAGGUGAUGGCUUUCAGCUCCUAAAAGCUUGACGGCUCGGGUCCUUCGAGCAGCAGACUGAACAAUUCUUGAAGUUUCGGUCAGUCCAGAAUGCAAGGACGGUUUGAACAUCCUAUUGGGUUAAAAAAAAAAUGAAGGUCUGGUUUCGGUGACAGUAAAUUGUCACUGUAUGUCUUUUUUUUUUUUCUGCAGGCUGGUUGAACCCAGUUGUGUGGGUGCUGGGACAAGAACUUUCACAAGUUCGAACUCCCCCUUUUAAGUAUAUGCCCCACCCCUUUGGAUACUGAUGGCCAUGUUGUAAGGUCACGGAAUGUUGAGAAAAUUGACUUAUAAAUGAUAGUUUGUCCCCAGACACUUGGUCCUUGCAGAAUGCAAGUGCAUGAGAAGACCCAGAGACUGGAAUGAACUUUCUGAUCUUCGGAGGAAAAGCAGAAGAUGUCUUCAAAUUUUAGAUGGUCCGGGCAGUUAGCAGUCUCUCCUCUGAGGAUGAGUUAGCCAUGUCCCCUCGUCAUUGGACAGAUGUCAUGGAGAGAGGCCUGAUGACAGUGUGGUCAGAUAGUGAGUCAGGGCUGAGUCUGGCCUCCAUCCUAGCCAAGUCCUCUAGUGAGCACGUCCCCACCCCGCCCCAGCAGCUGAGGCACAGAGGGAAUCAGGAGAUGUUCAGUCUGGGCAUUCACGGGUCAUUCUGGUGUCUGUGCUGUAAAUUGGUUUAGAUGUUGUGCCCUCCCUCGCAGAUCUGACUCCCCACACCUCUCAAUUUAUCCAGUGUGCUUGCAAAUGCUGUGGCCCAGGGGAAGCUGUUAGCACAGAGAACUGGCCCAACCUUCGUUGCUAAGAAGUGGGGGCUUAGAGUGUCUCCUGAGACUCCCAAAGUCCUCAGCAGGCAGGAUGCUGAGCUGGCACUUAGCUGUUGUGUGCUGGACGUGGGCGUUGUGGGAUGUUUGCUCUGGCUUCCUGCCUAACUAGCAGGAUCCCUCAUCAGACCUCUGAGGCUUUCCCUGUGCCAAGGGUAGGGCAUUCUCAUGAGAGAACCCAGGCCAGCCAUGGGAACAGAAGUGUGCUGUGACCUGUAUCCCAGUGCUGUCUGAAUUACCUCCGGGGAGCUGCGGCUGGCCAUCCAUCCCCCUACCUUAUCUCCAUGGAGACAGCAGGUUGGGGGAGGAUCUGUGCCUGCUGUACUAACAGAAGGGACAGGGAAGCUAAGGACAGCUUCUACCCUUGUAAGGUACUGGCAUGUCAGUGCCCUCUCUCUCUCUCUCUCUCUCUCUCUCUCUCUCUCUCUCUCUCUCUCUCUCUCUCACACACACACACACACACACACACACACACACACACACACACACCGCAAAUUCAACACACCCAUACAACACACAGAGAGAGACAGAGACAAGAGAGAGACAGAGAGGCAGAGAGAGAGAGAGAGAGUCAGUUAUCGACAUCUUUCGUGCUCUCCUGGAUCAGACAGAACGGUCCCAUUCUGUCCUCCUGUCUCCAAAGUUUCCCUAUCUGAACUUCCUCACCACAAAAACCAACGAGGAGCAAAUGACAGACCCCAGCCAGAGUAGCUGGAGUGAGCCCCACUGUCCUUGCUGCCUCUGCUCUGCUCUGUCUUGCUCAUCAGCUAAAGAACGAACAGGCCUGGGUUCGGUGCUUGAGAGCUAUGAGCCGGCAUGGUGCUAGAUUCUUAUGCACAGCCUUCACCCUUCCAUCACCUCACAGCAGCAAGGCCCGUGCACAGAAAGUAACCAGAGGCCCAGAGAAAUGGAGUAACUUUCCUAAGGCCACACAGCAUAGAAGUGAGGAUCUGGGACUGGAACCUGGGAGUUAGGCUCUCCCCCUCCCUCUCCCUUCCCCCCUCCUUCUCCCUCCUCUCCCUCUUCCUCUCCCUCUCCCUCUCCCUCUCUCUCUCUCUCUCUCUCUCUCUCUCUCUCUCUCUCUCUCUCUCUCUCUCUUUCUCUCUCUCUCUCUCUCUCUCUCUCUCUCUCUCUCUCUCUCUCUCUCUCUCUCUCUCUCUCUCUCUCUCUCUCCAGCCUUCUAAGGCCGAUGGCAACACUGAAGUACAUUCAAUCAGGACCUGAGUCACCAGAAGGUGUUCCUCAAGCUUGAGAUGGCCUGAACCACUCACAGGUCUCAGACCAUCAGAAUGGGGCAGUCUCAGCUUUGCCUACACCCCAGGGAUAUUAAUCCUUCCCCUGCCAUUUAAGAUUGACUUCGAGUCUCCAUGUAAGUCUCCAAGGAGGGUCCCUGAAGUAGGAUUUCUUGGGUACGUGUAUAAGGAGCCCCCAAGGUAUGCGAGCCCCCAAGGAGCUGCACUGUAGGAAGGUUUCAGUGACCGGCACUGAGGUCAGAUUGUGGGCCUCACCUGCGUGGCAAGUUGAUCCAAGCUGUACAGCCCCAAAGCUCUCCAGAGCAGAGGAGGUCAUCUUCUUGGGGAGCCAAGCCAGAACCCCAUUGUCUUCUCCCUGGGUAAGGUGGACCCCAGAGCCUCCUACAUUUGAUAGGAAGGCCCUUGCCCUUUAUGUAUCUGCCCCUUGCAGGAGUGAUGUCUUUGCCAAAAUGUUCCCUGUGGUCAAUGAAAUCCAAUUGGAGCAACUAAUGAGUCUCCUUGGCUAGAGAGGCCACUGUCCCUCCUUAUGUGCAUUUUUAGGAUCCCAAGGAAUGGGAAAUGGGACAGGCCAGUGCCACACGGCCAGAGAGGCAGCACACCAGCUUCCUGUCCUGGCCGGGACGCCUGUCCACUGACCAGGACCUGUGCAGGAGCUAGAGCCACAAUACAGCUGAAUGUAUGCUCUUGGCAUGCUAGUCCUCUCCUGCAGAAGCAUGGCCACCCUUUUGUAUCAGUGGGUAGUAAAAUGGCUUCUCUCUCCUGCUGCGGACAGUCCUACUUACAAGCUCAUGUAUUUCCCAAGUCAGGGCCAGGGAGGAGCAGCCAGAGACUGAAUGGCACAUGUGCACCCAUAUCAGGCUCUCCUAGCCUCUGUCCUCUAUGGGUACUCAGUACAGGGUCGGGAGGAGAGGGUGCUGAGCUUCAGCUGAGAGCCCUGAGGUGCAGGGCACAGGCUCCAGACAGAGGCGGAGCUCCUCUCAGAAGCCAGGGGAGUGAAAUUAUGAGCUGUCUCCCUGUGCAGCCUCCUGAGAUCAGAGCUUGAGCAAGACAUGUCAUGGGGGAGGGAGAGAGGGAACCACACAAACCACAGGGCUCCAGGCAAUGUACAUCACCACCGGCACGACAUUACCCUGCCAUCAGCCAGGACAGAUGGGGGCUAUGUAUGGACUGCGUGUCGGCCUCAUUUGGCUUGGCUCACUGCGGCUGUCGUCUGUGCUUUACUGAUGGGAAAUAAAGCCGAGAGGUUGCUUCGUGGGUAAAGCCUGAGGACCCGAGCUCACAUCCUCAGAGUCCACAUUAAAAUAAAACCAGCUCUGGGGGAUGAAGGUGGGCAGGUUUGGGGGGUUCGCUGGCCAGCCACACUAACCAAAAAUGUGAGCUCAGGUUCCGUGAGCUGCACUGGCUUUUCUUUUGUUUCUUUUGGGCUUUAUUCUUUGUAAGUGGUGGGUGGAUAAAUGAUUAAGAAGGACCUCUGGUCUCUAACUGAAACCACAUGGAAAAGUACAUACACUUGUACGUGUGUGCACACAUGCACACAUAAACGAGAUAGAGUGGGAAGGAAACACGGGUACUAGGGCUUUUCACAGGCAAACCUGAGCACAGAGGUGUCCUUGUGCCUGCCUAGGCCACAUCAUUGGAAAGACAAGGUCUCAACCUCUCCUUCUUUCUGCCGAUUUCUGCCUCAAAAGCUUUCAGAUCUGCUUUUCCACUGGGGCUAAAUCCUAGCCUGUGUGUGUGUGUGUGUUCAGCGUUCAGGGAGUGCGUGUGUGCUUUGGCCACAAGAUACUUCAGAGCCUUGGGUCUGCUUGGAGCCCUCUGUCUGGUGGAGUGGCAGGGAGACUGUGUCUGCCUCCUGUGUUCUUUCUUGAUUUUAUUUUUAAGACUUGCAGCCUGUAUACAACCGCAUGUGGCCGAGGAUAGAUACAUGUCCCACCCAAAACAAAAUCAUGCACUUAAAAUAUUGUGAGGUUUUUUUUUUCUUUUGUCCUCUGUAACUCAGUCACUCAGUUUGGGGUGAGAACUUUGCGGAUGGUGUCACUAUGUUGAAAUGUCAAAGCCUAGGACCUGAGAAUCACACCAUUUGCAGUUCAACGUACUGCUCUGACAUCACCAACGGUUCUGUGUGCAGGUUUGCCUCGAGGGCAUGGACACCCAUCCUCACAGGGGUUUGGGGGCAUUGCCAGGUGGGGCUGAUCUGCAGGAGAGCAGAGUCUUGUCCCCAGAUCUCCCAGCCAGAGAAUUCCCGUGAUUCUUCAAUUCAGGUACCUUUGUUCCCCAGGGGGAACAAUUUGGCAAUGUCUGGAGAUCAUUCUUAUCUCCAGUUUACAGAGGAGUGCGGACGACGUACUGCAUCUAGAGAGCAGAGGCCAGAGAUGCUCACCCGCACAGAGGACAGACCCCGUGGCCAACUACUAUCCAGCCCCCAAAUGCCAACGACGCCGAAGAUGGGAGGCUACACCAGUCAUGUGUGAGUCAGACCACAUGUGGAUCAGAGCAAAUCAGAGCGGCGAGCCCAAUGUCAGCUAUGGGUGGAGGCGACCCGACAAUGUGGCCAGAACGCUGAGGCUGAGCUUGCCUCCCACCAGUGACUGUCCAGGACCUCUGAGGCCUGCCCCUCACCAGUGCGUCUGAGAAGCAUGAUCGGUGAAGAGAUUCUCAUGGGGACAGGAAGGCUGGGGAUCAGGAACAGCAUCAAACCAAUCCAGGUCUCCUUUCUGACCCCCCCCCAGCUCUCCAAAACUGUAGACACACUAACUCUUUCUACUCUCUAAAUCCUUCCAGAAUUCUUACUCAUCACCUGCUGCUUGCGGACUGCAGUUCUUCACGAGGAGAGCGUCAGUCAAGCUUCUGUGUUUUGUAAUGAUUUUCUAGCCAGCUUGUAAAUGUGACAUGAAAGUAUUUUUACCUUUGUGCCAGUCCUUGCCACGCAGGCACCCUGUUCUCUGUGUGUCACUGGCAUUUACUUGCAGUGGAAAGGUUCUUUGCUGAUGUAAGAGUUCCAUGUGCUCUCUUGAAGGUGUGGUGGUAACACCUCCCUGUGUUAGCUUUCUUGCUACGGUUGUCAUUUUCUAUUAUAAUUAAACAGAAGGAAGGUUUAACUCUG